GGGCCUUUGCAGGAUACUUCAAAUCUA
rnacentral:piRNA from 1 species